CCUACGGGAGGCAGCAGUAGGGAAUAUUGCUCAAUGGGGGAAACCCUGAAGCAGCAACGCCGCGUGGAGGAUGAAGGUUUUCGGAUUGUAAACCCCUUUUGUUAGAGAAGAGAAUGACGGUAUCUAACGAAUAAGCACCGGCUAACGCCGUGACAGCAGCCGCGGUAAUACGGAGGGCGCAAGCGUUACUCGGAAUCACUGGGCGUAAAGGGCGCGUAGGCGGGAUAGCAAGUCAGAUGUGAAAUCCUAUGGCUUAACCAUAGAACUGCAUUUGAAACUGUUAUUCUAGAGUAUGGGAGAGGUAGGUGGAAUUCUUGGUGUAGGGGUGAAAUCCGUAGAGAUCAAGAGGAAUACUCAUUGCGAAGGCGACCUGCUAGAACAUAACUGACGCUGAUGCGCGAAAGCGUGGGGAGCAAACAGGAUUAGAUACCCCAGUAGUC
rnacentral:rRNA from 1 species